ACCUGACUGCUAUCGGAUUGAUACUAAGCCAUGCGAGUCAUUGUACCAAUACAAGGCAUACGGCUCAGUAACGCGUAGUCAACCUAACCUAUGGACGGGAAUAACCUCGGGAAACUGAGAAUAAUGCCCGAUAGAACAUUAUACCUGGAAUGGUUUAUGUUCCAAAUGAUUUAUCGCCAUAGGAUGGGACUGCGGCCUAUCAGUUUGUUGGUGAGGUAAUGGCCCACCAAGACUACUACAGGUACGGGCUCUGAGAGGAGUAGCCCGGAGAUGGGUACUGAGACACGGACCCAGGCCCUAUGGGGCGCACCAUGCGAGAAAACUUUGCAAUGUGCGAAAGCACGACAAGGUUAAUCCGAGUGAUUUCUGCUAAAGAGAUCUUUUGUUAGUCCUAGAAACACUAACGAAUAAGGGGUGGGCAAGUUCUGGUGUCAGCCGCCGCGGUAAAACCAGCACCUCAAGUGGUCAGGAUGAUUAUUGGGCCUAAAGCAUCCGUAGCCGGCUCUGUAAGUUUUCGGUUAAAUCUGUACGCUCAACGUACAGGCUGCCGGGAAUACUGCAGAACUAGGGAGUGGGAGAGGUAGACGGUACUCGGGUAGGAAGUGGUGAAAUGCUUUGAUCUAUCGGUGACCACCUGUGGCAAACGGGGUCUACCAGAACACGUCCGACCGUGAGGGAUGAAAGCUGGGGGAGCAACCCGGAUUACAUACCCGGGUAGUCCCAGCUGUAAACUAUACAAACUCACUGAUGCAUUGUCUUGUGGGCCAUGCAUUGCUGCAUGCAAGCCGUUAACUUUGCCGCCUGGGAAGUACAUACGCAAGUAUGAAACUUAAAGGAAUUGGCUGGGGAGCACCACCACGUGUGAUACCUGCGGUUCAAUAGCAGUCAACG
rnacentral:rRNA from 1 species